CACCACCGCUUUGCAUCGGGGUUGGAACCAACGACCGACCGAUAUGUCCCCCUCCCUCCGUCUCUCCCAUCGUCUCUAGCAAUCGUGGCGCCUACCGACGAAUCCACCAGAGUGACAAGCCAUCUUCCUCCCGAGGUCACUGGUGGUGGCACGAAGGAGCUCUUUGUCCAUUUCUUCCCGAGGAGUACGGCAGCUCGGAGGAGUGCCUAGCGGCAGCGCUCCAUCCUGCCGAAGCGGCCUAGUGGCCGACGCCAUUCCCGUGGGCCACCGUACCAAGCCACCGCUCACCUGUCCUCCUCGCAGUCGUCCCUCCCCCACAUCUUCACCAGCGGCCGCGGUUGUUCAAUCCAGAAAAAGUCAGAUGAGAGGAAGGAAGGUAGCAGACCAGAUCGAGAUCUUGGCUCCUACAGGCCACCUGCUCCGUCGCUCCACUCCACACGCCAUGGCAGCUGACCGAGAUGAACGAGCAUCGCCGUAGUGAAGUCACCGAGAAGUGCAUCGUAAUCGACGCUACUACGGAUGCCACAGCCACGGGCACGCGACGCCGGGAAGACGACAUCACAAGUUUGACUGCCAUUCGGCAGCAACCGUUCCUUCAGCUCCGUCCCGAACUACCUGGACAGAGGAGGUCACAUGGAGGCCGGCUGAGCGGUCCAGGUGAGAAUUCACAGCCUCACAGAUGAUUCCACCGGCAUCCUCCUCUCUGCCCCCAUCUGCCCUGCUCCCACCAGUGCCCCUGGUUCAAUCCUUGAUAGCAUCCUCCUCUGUAUCCAUGUUCGGGCGACCAAGAUCCUCCUUGCAUCUCCAGCGGGAAGAGUUGUGUUGGGUUCAGAAGGAGGCGGCGUGGUGGCGGAUUCAAGUGUUCUAGAUCAGCAGUGGGAUGAGUUCUGAUGAGAUGAUAGUUGACAACUCGGAGAGAGAGGUAUGGAGCGGUCAAUGCCGCUGUGCGUCGAGCAUUACAGAAUGGUCGUGCAGGUUCCGCUCCUUUUCCAGAUUAAUGUGCUUUUACAUUGUUUGGAUGGUCGAAGGUAACAAGUGAACAUCUCCUAAUAAUACUUAUUACUCUUACUUCUAAAUACUUCAUUUAGUUGGCACAUCAGUCUUCUAGGGGUACAUACAAUGUUGAUAUAUACAUUUUUUUAAUCUGCCAGUUAUGCCUUAACUGUAUGUGUGCUGAAAUACUCCUGCCUUGCAAAUACUACAGCAAACAGGACAUGAGUUAUGAACUAUGGUGUUUGAGAUUCCGGUAGCAAGUAAAUAUCUCUACCUCCAUCUCCACUGUUCUUACCUUGCACUUAGCUCUUAGACUUUUCUUAUUAUAACACAACAGAUUGUGUGCCAUGUACUCUUUGUCAGCUUAACCUUAGAAUUGUAUAUAACGAGUCAGUCAAAACUCUUAGAGUUUGGGAGUGUGUGCGCUAUCGAAUUUAUUCAUUUCACUAAAAAGCCGAGGCCUCACAAUUAGCUAGAUAGACAAUUUGAAGCUGAAGCUUUGAGAAAGACAUGGUUUCAAUUCGUUUUACAAUUGAGGUAUGUUUCUUUCAUCAUCUGGGGAAGAUCUGAAGCUAUAGCUCCUAGAAAAGCUCAUGAAAAGUGUGGCUGUUUAGAUAAUUUGGUGCUUCUUUCACAAUAUGGACAACAUAGUUGCAUGUAAUGCAUCAUUCUGCAAACAGGUUGUAUAUUUAUCCUCAGUUCUUAUUGGCGCCUCAUGAGUAUUUUCAAAUGUACAUCAUGUAACUAUGACAACUUGUGCUUACCAAACUGUUAGUAUUCUGCACCCCCCUCUAAACGAUAGAGAUUGCCAUACUACAGUUUCAAACAUACUUUACAUGAUAAGAUGAUACACAUUUCUUUUUCAAGGUAUCAUUUGGGAUGCUCAAGGAGUAAGUUGAAAGAAGGGAAAUCAAUCAAGAGCAAUUUAUGGAAAAAAGGAGAGGUUUUCAUUAAGGUAUGAUUAUGUACUAUCAUACAACAUGAGACGUGAUUGGUGAUAAUAAAGAGGCAACUACAUAAUUAUUCAAUUGUAGCAUUCUGGAGUGAAUAUACAUGCUAUAGAUAUCAUUCUAUUUUUAUUUUGGUUUGUUGUCGAGUACAUUUGGUUUACCAGAAAUUGCAGUAGCUUUUCUCUAACAUUAGUCAGGAUCUAUUUGUUUCCUCAAUUGCUCUUCUGGAGAUUAUAAUCUGGUUUAGUUAUAUAACUGAGGCCAUAAUCAAAUUCUCUCAUAGUAGUCUCUUAUAUGGUCUAUUUGGAUUAAUCUUCAGUAAGCUGUUAGAUAUCUCCACAGAAAAAGAACACUCCACUCUGCCAUGUAUAUACUGUUUGCUUGAAACAAUUUAUAGUUUCAGCACCUGUACAAAGUUACAGGAAACUCAUUUAGCUCAGCUUUCUUACUAUGAAAGUUGUUGAUGCUGUACAGAGAUGUGCUGCAUUUUCUUAUAGGCCUAACGUAUUUACACUAGAAUUCUAUAUUUUUUUGGUUUAGGUGGAAGAACAUUGUAGGCACCACUCUGUUUUCUGUGCUUUCAGACCUAACGUGCUUAUACUAGAUGGAUGAAAUCUGUAGGCAUUACCCAAUCCUCUCUGUUUUCUUAUUUGUUAUGUUGAAGGCUAUCUUCUUUAUCUUUGUCCAAUUUAUAGUAUGCUACUGUGUAUAAUUGCAGUCAAUGGAUAUAUCGAGUGCUGCUCCCUCAAUACCCCAUCGUCAUAUUAAUUUUUAUAAUUAUAAUGUCUUUUUUUUGCAGGCAUUAUAUGGUCAUUUUACUUAGUCAUCAUCCAGUAUUUAUUCAAGCUCUCACAUCUUUGUUUAUCUAUAGCGUUAUUACUAAUUGUUUUCAAUACAAUGAACAAACUCUAGAACCAAACUACGGGAGUGUGAGCAUAGCACAAUUAAGGUUCAAUUGGAUAUUUGUUUAUCUAUAAAAUUACUGAAAUAUUUAGUAGGAUAGCUGAACUGAUUAAAGUCCAACAAGUCUUAAUAGCUAACAGGUCAAUAGAAAUAGACUUCAGUAGGAUAGGCAGACUGAAUAGAGACAAAUCGGACAAUGCAUUUACACACACGAUCACCAUCACAUUGGCACAAAGCUAAAACAUUUCUCGAACCAAGCCAAUUAUUAUACAAAUAGCUUACAACAAGACGGUUACACCAAAGAAUAGAGAGAAGAACAUAGAAGUUAUGUUUCCCCUUUUCUGAUAUAAAAAAUUUGUUUACAUUGCAGGACGUUUGGUGGAUCUUCUAUCAUCAUUUUUUUGCAGAUUUCACAUUUUGUUUCAGUUGAUGAAGUUUCCGAAUCAAGUUUCUGUCUUCUAGCUUCUUCGGAAGAGAAUAAAGCUUCUAGGAAUGCGUGAACAUUCAGCUUCCUUUGCAACAUAAACAGGAGGAGCAGCCCAGGCAGCCACCCAACAUCCUCCAAUAAGAUACAAGUCCACAGCUCCAGCAAAUAAGAGCAGAAGAGCACCACGAUAGGGAUACCCUCUCCGACAACCAACCAAAGGACGACUAAUCAGAUUAUGCGCUAUCCAUUGAGUUCUUCACCGAGGGAAAAUAAAUAAUCACCUUAGCGUCAGUUGAGGGCUACAAAUAACUGCUCCAAGACCAAGCAACAAUACCAUCAUUCUAUUCCAAGACCAGUCUAAAAAUGUAUCAUAUUUUAGAAAAGGUAGAACCUGCUUUCCUCCCUAUGCAAAACAAUUACAUCAACAAUGUAAUCAGCUCAAUUAUACGUUUCUGCACGUAUUGCUUA